AACGAACGCUGGCGGCGUGCCUAACACAUGCAAGUCGAGCGCGAAUAGGGGCAACCCUUAGUAGAGCGGCGCACGGGUGCGUAACACGUGGAUAAUCUGCCUGGAUGCUCGGGAUAACCAGUCGAAAGAUUGGCUAAUACCGGAUAAGCCCACGGUUUCUUCGGAGACUGAGGGAAAAGGUGGCCUCUGUAUACAAGCUAUCACAACCAGAUGAGUCCGCGGCCCAUCAGCUAGUUGGCGGGGUAAUGGCCCACCAAGGCAACGACGGGUAGCUGGUCUGAGAGGACGAUCAGCCACACUGGAACUGAGACACGGUCCAGACUCCUACGGGAGGCAGCAGUGGGGAAUUUUGCGCAAUGGGCGAAAGCCUGACGCAGCAACGCCGCGUGUGUGAUGAAGGUCUUUGGAUUGUAAAGCACUUUCGACCGGGAAGAAAACCCGUUGGCUAACAUCCAACGGCUUGACGGUACCGGGAGAAGAAGCACCGGCUAACUCUGUGCCAGCAGCCGCGGUAACAC
rnacentral:rRNA from 1 species